rnacentral:rRNA from 1 species
UACGUAGGGUGCGAGCGUUGUUCGGAAUUACUGGGCGUAAAGGGCGCGUAGGCGGGCCUGUAAGUCGAUUGUGAAAGCCCCGGGCUUAACCUGGGAACAGCAGUCGAAACUGCAGGUCUUGGAUGCCUGAGAGGAUGGCGGAAUUCCCGGUGUAGAAGUGAAAUUCGUAGAUAUCGGGAAGAACACCUGAGGCGAAGGCGGCUGUCUGGCGGUGCAUCGACGCUGAGGCGCGAAAGCGUGGGGAGCAAACAGG